UUCAGUUUUGUAGGGCCUGAAGCUUAUAACAAUAUGAGGACUUCUUAAGAAAAAAAUACAACAUGAUGUGCAAACAGUGAAUAUUGAAUUAGAAGAGCUUCAGUCAAAUGAUAAGCCUCAAAGUUUCAGCUCCAUUACCUGUAUGCUAAAUCCAUUAUUCCAGAUAGCAAUUAAAAUAAAUGUUUUAAAAGUGCUAUAAAAAUAAAAUAAUCCCUGAAAAGAAUACUUCACUUCCCACCCCAAACCUGAAGGAGCUUUACAUUUUAAACUUUCUAUAUAUCAUCUCAUUUGAUUUUUUCCCUUCUUUUAAUUUCUCCCUUGCCUGAAAAAGUCCUGUUUACAGUAGCUCUCUCCAUUUCGAGAGACGGGGAAAGAGGGGGCCAGUGAUUUGCUCCGGGUCCCAGAAGCCUCUCCUGGCCGGGCCUCAGCCCUGUCUGCUUAGAUUCUCAGCAUAUAAAUUUGAAGAAAUGAUACUUUGAGUACAGAUAUGAAGAAGCUUCUACCCCUAGUGUGUUCAUUCUUAUUUUACCAGAGAGAACACUUAGAAAUUCUCAACCAAGCCAACGCACAGACUCUCUGAUUCCUGAGUAUAGAACAUGGUUUAACCUUGUAAACCAGAAAGUUGUUGGAAAAAUGUUUCAUUUUGACAUGAGACAGAACUUGACCAUUUGAACUUUUUUUUUUCUAAAGAUAUUCACAUUUUUUUCCCCAGAAGAACUGUAAUUUUGAGAAAACUACUUAGCUCAGUACUUGUGGUUGUUUUUCUUUCCCGCUACCUUACUUCCAUGUUUCCUAAAGGUCAUCAUAAUAAAGACUUUAGCCGGUGGGGAGGGAUCAUAGCCUCAUGGCUGUUUGGCCCUCCAGCUUUGGAUCUUCCCCGCCCCACAACUCCCCAAGUUUGGAUCUUGAAGUCCUCAUGGUUUCUGCACAUACUCAAACAUGUAAAAGAAAAAUUUUUUUUAGCCUCAUAUACCUCUGCCACCCUGUAUUUAGUUCUAAGGCACUUGUAAAUUAUAAAAGAAUGCAUAAGGAUAAUAAACAAAUAGCAAAAAACCCUUAAGGGUUUGACACAGGUUUUGUGGAUAAUGACUUCCAACUGUUUCUAUAGUAACAUUUUGCUUACGUAGUAACUAUAAUAAUAGUUGCAAUUCUUGAGUCCUCCUAUUUGCCAGCCACCAAAUAUAAUCCAUGCCAAGUCCUCAAAACAGCCCUAAAAGGUAGGUGGUGUUUGCUUCAUUUUAUAAAUGAGAAAGCUGAGGUUUAAAAAGAUUAGAUAACCAGGCUAAGGAGAUGCAGUCGGUGCCAGAGACUGAAUCAAAUACAGGUCUGAGUGACUGCAAGGCUGCUCUGCUCCCACCAAUACCGCUUCUUGGAUUAGAAAUACAUAGCGGCUGGGUACCACCCAGAGCUACUGUGGUGACCGGCCUCCAGGCUGACCUCAGAUGAGUCGCCUCUCUUGGUGUUCCCACCCUCGUAUUGUCCCCACCCUCGUGUUGUCCCCUUCUACACUGAACACACAGGGCUGAUGUGUGUAACCAACAGAAUAUUGCAAAGCUGAUGGCGGAUGACUUUGGAGACUGGGUCGUGAAAGACGCUGUGGCAUUCACAGUGCUAUCUCAUGAGUCACUUGCUCUUGGGGAAGUCAACUGCCAUGUUUAAAGGACAAAUGCUCUCUAUCCACUUGGAGGGGAACCGAGACCUCCUGCAGGCAACAGGUGCUAAUGCCCCAGGUGUGUGAGUGAGUCAUCUUGGAGACGCACCUGCCGGCGCCCGUCAAGCCUCCGGGGGACUGCAGCCCGGGAGGACCGCCGACUGCCCCUGCGUUUGCAAGGAUAAAACAUUUGGGACUACACUGAGGCAGAUACCAGUUCAGAUCUAAUAAAUGAAUCACUGUGGGACGUGAAGAGGUCCCGGUCCAUGAUCAGAAGUUCUCGUACAUCACUUGACUUUGCCACUGGCUCUUCCCCCCAUGUUAAGCAGACUCCCGUCUCAUGUCCCUGACUGUUCUGCUGAGCGUGGGCCUUCUUGGGGUGAGGUCCGCAGCACCCCAGCCAUGGUUGGUCUUGCUUGCCAAUGCAGGGGAGCUCUUUAAUUAUCAUCGAACACCACUGUUUAUUCAUCCCUCUAACAUUUGUUGUCUGUUCUGUGCCAGGAACCAUGCUGAGUGGUUGGUGGAAAUGAGGCAGUGGAGUGGGGAAGAAAGACAAAUGAACAAGUGAAAUUUA